rnacentral:rRNA from 1 species
GGCUUUUUGUUAAUAAUUUAAAGUCUAACCUGCCCAAUGAUUUUAAUUUAAUGGCUGCAGUAUUUUGACUGUACAAAGGUAGCAUAAUCAUUAGUUUCUUAAUUAGGAACUGGAAUGAAGGGUUGAACGAGAACAUAACUGUCUCUUUAAAAAUUUUUUAGAAUUUUAUUUUUAAGUUAAAAAGCUUAAAUAACUUUAAAAGACGAGAAGACCCUAUAGAGUUUUAUAUAAUUAUUAAUAAUUAUAAAAUUUGAAUUAUUUUUUUUUUUAUUAAAAAUUAUAUUUAAUUGGGGUGAUUGAAAAAUUUACUUAACUUUUUUUAAAAAUAAACAUUUAUUUAUGAUUAAUUGAUCCAUUAUUUAUGAUUAUAAGAUUAAAUUACCUUAGGGAUAACAGCGUAAUUUCUUUGAAGAGUUCAAAUCGAUAAAGAAGUUUGCGACCUCGAUGUUGGAUUAAAAUUAAUUUUUGAUGUAGAAGUUAAAAUAUUAGGUCUGUUCGACCUUUAAAAUUUUACA